CAAAAAAUUAUAACUCUAAUAAAAACAGGGCAUACCGUAUCCGUAAAGAGAGUCGUCCUUCUCGGUCAGAGUUGAGGCCGCUCGGUGUACUUGAACUAAAUACCUGAUUAAAAUACUGAAUGCCUAGGGUUCUGGGGAGCCUUGCAGGACUAUGAUAUGGUGUAGGUACCUGAUUAAAUACUGAAUGUCUAGGGUUCUGGGGAGCCUUGCAGGACUAUGAUAUGGUGUAGGUACCUGAUUAAAUACUGAAUGUCUAGGGUUCUGGGGAGCCUUGCAGGACUAUGAUAUGGUGUAGGUACCUGAUUAAAUACUGAAUGUCUAGGGUUCUGGGGAGCCUUGCAGGACUAUGAUAUGGUGUAGGUACCUGAUUAAAUACUGAAUGUCUAGGGUUCUGGGGAGCCUUGCAGGACUAUGAUAUGGUGUAGGUACCUGAUUAAAUACUGAAUGUCUAGGGUUCUGGGGAGCCUUGCAGGACUAUGAUAUGGUGUAGGUACCUGAUUAAAUACUGAAUGUCUAGGGUUCUGGGGAGCCUUGCAGGACUAUGAUAUGAUGUAGGUGCCUGAUUAAAUACUGA
rnacentral:lncRNA from 1 species